CACGUAGGGUGCGAGCGUUGUCCGGAAUUAUUGGGCGUAAAGGGCUCGUAGGCGGUUUGUCGCGUCGGGAGUGAAAACUCAGGGCUCAACCCUGUUCGUGCUUCCGAUACGGGCAAACUAGAGGUAGGCAGGGGAGAACGGAAUUCCUGGUGUAGCGGUGGAAUGCGCAGAUAUCAGGAGGAACACCGGUGGCGAAGGCGGUUCUCUGGGCCUAUUCUGACGCUGAGGAGCGAAAGCAUGGGGAGCAAACAGG
rnacentral:rRNA from 1 species